AUACGUAGGUGGCGAGCGUUGUCCGGAAUGACUGGGCGUAAAGGGCGCGUAAGCGGCCCGGUAAGUCUGGAGUGAACGACCUGUUUUUAAGAUGGGAAUUGCUUUGGAUACUGUCGGGCUUGAGUCCAGGAGAGGGAAGUGGAAUUCCCAGUGUAGCGGUUAAAUGCGUAGAGAUUGGGAGGAACACCGGGGGCGACGGCGGGUCUCUGGGCAGUAACUGACGCUGAGGAGCGAAAGCAUGGGUAGCGAACAGGAUUAGAUACCCUGGUAGUCCAUGCCGUAAACGGUGGGCGCUAGGUGUAGGGGUCUUCCACGACUUCUGUGCCGUAGCUAACGCAUUAAGCGCCCCACCUGGGGAGUACGGCCGCAAGGUUGAAACUCAAAUGAAUUGACGGGG
rnacentral:rRNA from 1 species